GCGAACGCUGGCGGCAGGCUUAACACAUGCAAGUCGAGCGGGCAUCCUUGUGGUGUCAGCGGCAGACGGGUGAGUAACGCGUGGGAACGUGCCCUUCGGUUCGGAAUAACUCAGGGAAACUUGAGCUAAUACCGGAUACGUGCGAGAGCAGAAAGGUUUAUCUGCCGAAGGAUCGGCCCGCGUCUGAUUAGCUAGUUGGUGAGGUUAUGGCUCACCAAGGCGACGAUCAGUAGCUGGUCUGAGAGGAUGAUCAGCCACACUGGGACUGAGACACGGCCCAGACUCCUACGGGAAGCAGCAGUGGGGAAUAUUGGACAAUGGGGGCAACCCUGAUCCAGCCAUGCCGCGUGAGUGAUGACGGCCUUAGGGUUGUAAAGCUCUUUUCUCCGGGACGAUAAUGACGGUACCGGAGGAAUAAGCCCCGGCUAACUUCGUG
rnacentral:rRNA from 1 species